rnacentral:rRNA from 1 species
GACGAACGCUGGCGGCGUGCUUAACACAUGCAAGUCGAACGGAAAGUCCCUGCUUUUGUGGGGGGCUCGAGUGGCGAACGGGUGAGUAACACGUGAGUAACCUGCCCUUGACUUUGGGAUAACUUCAGGAAACUGGGGCUAAUACCGGAUAGGAGCUCCUGCUGCAUGGUGGGGGUUGGAAAGUUUCGGCGGUUGGGGAUGGACUCGCGGCUUAUCAGCUUGUUGGUGGGGUAGUGGCUUACCAAGGCUUUGACGGGUAGCCGGCCUGAGAGGGGGACCGGCCACAUUGGGCCUGAGAUACGGCCCAGACUCCUACGGGAGGCAGGAGUGGGGAUUAUAGCACAAUGGGCGGACGCAUGAUGCAGCAACGCCGCGUGCGGGAUGACGGCCUUCGGGUUGUAAACCGCUUUCGCCUGUGACGAAGCGUGAGUGACGGUAAUGGGUAAAGAAGCACCGGCUAACUACGU